rnacentral:rRNA from 1 species
CCCUUAGAUGUCCGGGGCUGCACGCGCGCUACACUGAAGGAAUCAGCGUGCUAAAACCAUUGUCGAAAGGCAUUGGUAAACCCAUUAAAAUCCUACGUGAUUGGGAUCGGGAAUUGCAAUUAUUUCCCUUGAACGAGGAAUUCCCAGUAAGUGUGGGUCAUAAGCUCGCGUUGAUUACGUCCCUGCCCUUUGUACACGCCGCCCGUCGCUGCCCGGGACUGAGCCGUUUCGAGAAAAGCGGGGACUGCUGCUGUCGGGGCUUUCGGGCCUUGGCUUCGGUGGAAACCGCUUUAAUCGCAGUGGCUUGAACCGGGCAAAANUCGUANCA